rnacentral:rRNA from 1 species
UACGUAGGUGGCAAGCGUUGUCCGGAAUUAUUGGGCGUAAAGCGCGCGCAGGCGGUUUCGUAAGUCUGUCUUAAAAGUGCGGGGCUUAACCCCGUGAGGGGAUGGAAACUAUGGAACUGGAGUAUCGGAGAGGAAAGCGGAAUUCCUAGUGUAGCGGUGAAAUGCGUAGAUAUUAGGAAGAACACCAGUGGCGAAGGCGGCUUUCUGGACGACAACUGACGCUGAGGCGCGAAAGCCAGGGGAGCGAACGGGAUUAGAUACCCCGGUAGUCCUGGCCGUAAACGAUGGGUACUAGGUGUAGGAGGUAUCGACCCCUUCUGUGCCGGAGUUAACGCAAUAAGUACCCCGCCUGGGGAGUACGGUCGCAAGGCUGAA